rnacentral:misc_RNA from 1 species
UUUUCCUUUUUUUUUUUGGGUUGGGGGGUGGGGAUGGUUCCUUUCCACCUUCCAGCAAAAUAUACUUGCAGUCUAUUGUUUGUUGUUUUUAUGAGAGCAUUUUAAUUCUUCAAACUUCUAUUAGUUGCUAAUAAGAAAAAUAUGAUAUCUAUGCAUGAUUAUUUGUGUUUCUGUUUGAUGCAUCAGAAAUGGAUUUUCUUUCAGG